GACGAACGCUGGCGACGUGCUUAACACAUGCAAGUCGAACGGUGAAGCGCCUUCCUUUUUGGUGGGUGUGGAUGAGUGGCGAACGGGUGAGUAACACGUGAGUAACCUGCCCCCUUCUUCUGGAUAACCGCAUGAAAGUGUGGCUAAUACGGGAUAUUCUGGGUCUGUCGCAUGAUGGGUCUGGGAAAGAUAUUGUUUCGGUGGGGGAUGGGCUCGCGGCCUAUCAGCUUGUUGGGGGGGUGAUGGCCUACCAAGGCGGUGACGGGUAGCCGGCCUGAGAGGGUGGACGGUCACACUGGGACUGAGACACGGCCCAGACUCCUACGGGAGGCAGCAGUGGGGAAUAUUGCACAAUGGGCGCAAGCCUGAUGCAGCGACGCCGCGUGAGGGAUGGAGGCCUUCGGGUUGUGAACCUCUUUCGCCAGUGAAGCAGGCCUGCCUCGUUUGUGGGUGGGUUGACGGUAGCUGGAUAAGAAGCGCCGGCUAACUACGUG
rnacentral:rRNA from 1 species